UACGUAGGGUGCGAGCGUUGUUCGGAAUCACUGGGCGUAAAGGGCGCGUAGGCGGCCACCGCAAGUCAAUUGUGAAAUCUCCGGGCUUAACUCGGAAAGGUCAACUGAUACUGCGGGGCUAGAGUGCGGGAAGGGGCAACUGGAAUUCGUCGGUGUAGCGGUGAAAUGCGUAGAUAUCAGGAAGAACACCUAUGGCGAAGGCAGCACUCUGGGACGGUACUGACGGCUGAG
rnacentral:rRNA from 1 species